GAGACACCCUUAAGGGGCGAGACUUGCUUCAGUGGGGCUUUGAUGCUCACUGAGUCUGCCCCCUGAGUGUGUCCCU
rfam:Myotis lucifugus cont2.29577, whole genome shotgun sequence.